UACGUAGGGAGCAAGCGUUGUCCGGAAUCAUUGGGCGUAAAGCGCGCGUAGGUGGCCUCAUAAGUCCGUUGUGAAAGUCAAAGGCUCAACCUUUGAAAGCCGAUGGAUACUGUGAGACUAGAGUACGGAAGAGGCGAGUGGAAUUCCUGGUGUAGCGGUGGAAUGCGCAGAUAUCAGGAGGAACACCAACGGCGAAGGCAGCUCGCUGGGACGUUACUGACACUGAGGCGCGAAAGCGUGGGGAGCGAACAGG
rnacentral:rRNA from 1 species